rnacentral:misc_RNA from 1 species
AAGUCGUAACAAGGUUUCCGUAGGUGAACCUGCGGAAGGAUCAUUAACACUCCAAAACAAACUCAUUACUCUUGGCAACAAGGGUAUAUGAAACCCUAUUCACAAGCGAACCCGAAGGGAAUUGGGAGGGCGAGACUUUCCGUUUCAACCUCUCUCUUUCUCCUUCACUUUCCUUUUGUCCCUUUUUUCUUUAAGCCCCACAUAUUUUACUUUUAGACUGACUGAGACGCAAGUCUCGUUGUACUUCGAAAGAAGUGCAAUGAAAAUCGAUAAGAUUAACAAAAAAACAACUCUUAGCAACGGAUAUCUUGGUUCUC